GGUUGCUUAGCAUAAAAUUCAACUUCUUAAUUGUUUGGAGGGGAAAAAAAGGCAUUUGAGAAUGAAUUUCAAGCGAAUUGAUUCAUAUCUGCAGCAUAAAUAAGAUUACGAUUACUCCAUUAGAGUUGUUGGUUAAGCAUAAACUCCAUUAAAAAACAAAAAUUCAAAAGUCUUUGUAAUAAACAUGAUUACUGCUGGACAACGGAUCACUUUGGCUCCUUUUCUUGCUUGCUAAAUAAGUCAGACCGAUUCUUCAUAUUCCACCCCUGUUGACGGGGCUGUCUUUUAUAAUAAUUGCACCCCACGUAACAGCACCAAGUGGCCACACUCUAUAAAUAAAGCUUCAAAAUUAACCUACCUCUGCUUUCUUCAGCCUCAGAAUGGCGUAAGAGCAGCAGCAGAAGUAGAUAGCUAGCCAUGGUGAGGCUGAAGA
rnacentral:misc_RNA from 1 species